AGUGACAGAGUAGGGAGGGAGUGACUAGUGACAGAGAGAGGGAUGGGGUGACUAGUGACAGUCACCCCCCCUCACUCUGUCACUAGUCACCCCUUCCCUCCCUCACUUU